rnacentral:rRNA from 1 species
GACGAACGCUGGCGGCGUGCUUAACACAUGCGAGUCGAACGGAAAGGCCCUGCUUUUGUGGGGUGCUCGAGUGGCGAACGGGUGAGUAACACGUGAGUAACCUGCCCUUGACUUUGGGAUAACUUCAGGAAACUGGGGCUAAUACCGGAUAGGAGCUCCUGCUGCAUGGUGGGGGUUGGAAAGUUUCGGCGGUUGGGGAUGGACUCGCGGCUUAUCAGCUUGUUGGUGGGGUAGUGGCUUACCAAGGCUUUGACGGGUAGCCGGCCUGAGAGGGUGACCGGCCACAUUGGGACUGAGAUACGGCCCAGACUCCUACGGGAGGCAGCAGUGGGGAAUAUUGCACAAUGGGCGGAAGCCUGAUGCAGCAACGCCGCGUGCGGGAUGACGGCCUUCGGGUUGUAAACCGCUUUCGCCUGUGACGAAGCGUGAGUGACGGUAAUGGGUAAAGAAGCACCGGCUAGCUACGUG